rnacentral:rRNA from 1 species
UGCGGAGGAUUCAAGCGUUAUCCGGAUUUAUUGGGUUUAUAGGGUGCGUAGGCGGUCGGAUAAGUUAGAGGUGAAAUCCCGGGGCUCAACUUCGGAAUUGCCUCUGAUACUGUUCGGCUAGAGAGUAGUUGCGGUAGGCGGAAUGUAUGGUGUAGCGGUGAAAUGCUUAGAGAUCAUACAGAACACCGAUUGCGAAGGCAGCUUACCAAGCUACUUCUGACGUUGAGGCACGAAAGCGUGGGGAGCAAACAGG